rnacentral:rRNA from 1 species
GCACAAGCGUGGAGCAUGUGGUUUAAUUCGAUGAUACGCGAGGAACCUUACCUGGGCUAGAAUGCAGAGAGACUGUGGGUGAAAGCUCACUUUGUAGCAAUACACUGUCUGUAAGGUGCUGCAUGGCUGUCGUCAGCUCGUGCCGUGAGGUGUUGGGUUAAGUCCCGCAACGAGCGCAACCCCCAUCACUAGUUGCCAUCAGGUAAAGCUGGGAACUCUAGUGAAACUGCCGUCGUAAGACGCGAGGAAGGAGGGGAUGAUGUCAAGUCAUCAUGGCCUUUAUGCCCAGGGCUACACACGUGCUACAAUGGGAGAGACAAAGGGCAGCAACAUAGCGAUAUGAAGCUAAUCCCAAAAACUCUUUCUCAGUUCAGAUUGCAGUCUGCAACUCGACUGCAUGAAGCUGGAAUCGCUAGUAAUCGUAUAUCAGCAAUGAUACGGUGAAUACGUUCCCGGGC